ACCAAAGGGGACAGGGUCCGCGCUCCCAGGGGCCCGCGGGGGACAAGUGACCGGGGGUCCAGGGGACAGGGUCCGCCCUCCCAGGGGCCCGCGGGGGACAAGUGACCGGGGGUCCGAGGGGACAGUGACCGCGCUCCCGGCGGACCAAAGGGGACAGGGUCCGCGCUCCCAGGGGCCCGCGGGGGACAAGUGACCGGGGGUCCAGGGGACAGUGACCGCGCUCCCGACGGACCAAAGGGGACAGGGUCCGCCCUCCCAGGGGCCCGCGGGGGACAAGUGACCGGGGGUCCAGGGGACAGUGACCGCGCUCCCGACGGACCAAAGGGGACAGGGUCCGCCCUCCCAGGGGCCCGCGGGGGACAAGUGACCGGGGGUCCAGGGGACAGGGUCCGCGCUCCCGGCGGACCAAAGGGGACAGGGUCCGCGCUCCCAGGGGCCCGCGGGGGACAAGUGACCGGGGGUCCAGGGGACAGGGUCCGCCCUCCCAGGGGCCCGCGGGGGACAAGUGACCGGGGGUCCGAGGGGACAGUGACCGCGCUCCCGGCGGACCAAAGGGGACAGGGUCCGCGCUCCCAGGGGCCCGAGGGAGCAGGGGGAGACAGUGUCCGCCCUCCCGGGGGACGGAGCGGACGGUGUCCGCGCUCCAGGGCCAUCCAGGGUCUGGCAGGGACGCACUUUCUCUGGCCAAGAGCCUGUGGGUGCCCGUCACCUGGGGUUGUACGUAAUGCGGUCUGAGGACCCCGGGGGCGGGGCCUGAAGUUCUGCCUGGCGGGCACAGGGGGUGAGGGUCCCGCCGGCGGGGGACCUCCGUUGAGAUUAGGGUCUCGGGAUGCUCUCCGCAGCCUCAGCCUGGAGGCGCCUGCAGAUCGCUGCUCGUCGCUCAGGGUGUCCAGAAUCCUGCGCCUCAGGAAGUGGCUCGGGACACGAAAACGAGCGCAGGGCAUGCGCUACCGGGGGCAGGUGACAAAGAAACUUUUGAGCAUAUUCCAAGCGGUUUGGAUACUCGGAUAUGGCAGCAUGCGACUCACUGGUGACAGUUGUUCGCUCAAAACUGGUUGAGUGCAGGGAGUGGACCGCACUCUCCUCCUUUACCACCAGUGUGCCUGGGGAUGCUUUGCUUUUAACGUUAAAAAGUUUUCCCUCCCUGUUCCUGUGGGCCACAGCAGAAUACAACAGAGGAUUUGGAAAGAUCCACUAAUUCAGACUAAUGAGCAUCAUCAGUAAAGCAAAUACGGGAACUUAACGUGCCGCCCUGGUGGAGCGUUAUUUGGUAUUGGCCCAUCUCCUUUGCAGUUUGGGUCUCUCGGCUGUGUCAUCAGCUCUCCUGAGGAGACUACCAGCCACCAUCCGCGUGACAGGAUUCCACCCACGGCUCCUUGUCCUCCCGGUUGGAUCUGCCAGCACCUGAAACAAAGCUGCACUUACAAUUCUCAGAUGCCUUUCUCCAGGGUUACUUUCUUUCUUUCCUGCCCAAUCUGCGGUGGAGACAUGGCCAAGGUUGUCCAAGGUUGCUUCAGGUCUGACUUAGAGCUCCAGGGUAAACUGAGGGCUAAUAAUGUCAUGCCGCAUCCCUGGAUAGAAAAUCAGCCUCGAGGGCUUUACUUCUUAGGUGAUGGUAGGAAGAAGAAAGAGAAAGGGGAAACAACAUUUCUGUAGCAUUUAUACAGAGCUUGAUCCAUGGCAUUCGAGUUAACCUAACGUUGAUAUGAGGAGAAACACACGCUUUCCUUUUGCACAAUUAUGAAAUAUUCACCAAUAUUCACAAACUGCUCUGUGAGUCUUCAAACAUUCUUCCGGCUGAACUGUUUUCCUCAUUUUCAGAGCAAGUCUUGAAUGCCGUUCUCAGAAGGAAGAAAGGAACAAAUUUUAAAAACACUGUUAUGUUAGUAGAGUUUAACCCAAGAAAGAAAACAAGAAGUAAUUGAUUUAAGGGGAAACUCCGUGUAUACAGACCUUGAAAGAAGGCGGGACCGAUCUCCGUGAAACGGAGAAAAUCACUCAUACCCUAUAUAUCGAUGUAAGACACUGCAGUUAAUGUGGGGAGAGAGACACAAAGUAACCCUGAUCUUUGCUUUGAGUGAUCCAAGUAGCUGGGGAAAUGUUCUGGUCAUAACCAUCCACACAUUGGGUAGAGAAACAAAAAGCACGGUAGAAUGUGGAGAACGGAGAUACGAAGUCAGACAGUAGGAGUGCAGAUUGAAGAAUAAGUAGAUAUCAAUUUAUUUCUUUAAAUAAAAGCUUAGAUAAUGUAUGGUGAUUAACAUAACAAUAAAAAAUUUUUAAAAAAAUAAAAGCUUAGAAAUAUUGUAUUCGAAUUUGGAAUUUUAAAGAGACUAUUACAUUUCUUAUUUGGCUUUGAUUUUGAUAUUUGAAUAUAGUUUGAAUUUCAUUUCCAUAAUUUUUGUAUUAAGAUCUCCUUAUUAAAUAUU